rnacentral:scRNA from 1 species
CUGAUGCUGAGAAGGGCUCGGCUUGAUCUGUGAUGAACCCGAGCCAUGCUAACUGAG